AGCACUAUAGGGUACAGUAACAAUCCCCGAGGAUUCAGCUCUCGAGCUGGAGUGGACGAUCCGCAGCGCCCACCCUGUCGCAGGGUGACGUUCACAGACUAAGUGAUUGUGGGCAGGGUGACCUGCUUAAGAUAUAGUCGGGCCUGCCUGGAAACGGGCAGGGUAUUCGCUGAAUACAAACCGCUCCGUAGGUGAACCUGCGGAGGGAUCAUUACAGAGUUCAUGCCCUAACGGGUAGAUCUCCCACCCUAUGUUAUUAAUACUAUGUUGCUUUGGCGGGCCGCUUGGGCGAGUCCCGACCACCGGCUUCGGCUGGUGAGCGCCCGCCAGAGGACCCAAAACCCUGAAUGUUAGUGUCGUCUGAGUACUAUAUAAUAGUUAAAACUUUCAACAACGGAUCUCUUGGUUCUGGCAUCGAUGAAGAACGCAGCGAAAUGCGAUAAGUAAUGUGAAUUGCAGAAUUCAGUGAAUCAUCGAAUCUUUGAACGCACAUUGCGCCCCCUGGUAUUCCGGGGGGCAUGCCUGUUCGAGCGUCAUUACAACCCUCAAGCUAAGCUUGGUAUUGGGCUUCGCCGCUAACCCGGCGGGCCUUAAAAUCAGUGGCGGUGCCGUCGUGGCCCUGAGCGUAGUAAAUAUCCUCGCUAUAGGGACWCGGUGGUGACCGGCCAGCAACCCCCAACUUUCUAAGUUUGACCUCGGAUCAGGUAGGGAUACCCGCUGAACUUAAGCAUAUCAAA
rnacentral:rRNA from 1 species